GACGAACGCUGGCGGCGUGCUUAUACAUGCAAGUAGUACGCUUGAAGGAGGAGCUUGCUCUUUCUGGAUGAGUUUGCGUAACGGGUGAGUCACGCGUAGGUAACCUGCCUGGUAGCGGGGGAUAACUUAUUGGAAACGAUAGCUAAUACCGCAUAAGAGUAGAUGUUGCAUGACAUUUACUUAAAAGGUGCAAUUGCAUCGCUACCAGAUGGACCUGCGUUGUAUUAGCUAGUUGGUGGGGUAACGGCUCACCAAGGCGACGAUACAUAGCCGACCUGAGAGGGUGAUCGGCCACACUGGGACUGAGACACGGCCCAGACUCCUACGGGAGGCAGCAGUAGGGAAUCUUCGGCGAUGGACGGAAGUCUGACCGAGCAACGCCGCGUGAGUGAAGAAGGUUUUCGGCAUCGUAAAGCUCUGUUAUAAGAGAAGACUACGAGUGUGAGAGUGGAAAGUUCCCACAUGUGACGGUAUCUUACCA
rnacentral:rRNA from 1 species